AUCUGGUGGUGGGGGUAAUUGGAACACAAAUUCUUGAACCUCUUCCAGUAUUCGUAGAGGCUCUCUCCAAACUACUGAUUGAUGCCAGAAAUCUCUUUUCUUAUGAU